CGUGACCCAGGAACACAAACAUCUGAGAGACCUCUGGGCAUCUUCACAUCUGCUGCAGUGACCUCCAGGAGCACUUUGGUUGUGCCAGAGCAAUGACAGCAUCUCUGUUCCAACACCACCAGCAGGAGAGCUGGAUGCACCCAGGAGCUGUUUGGUUUCCUGAGGAAAAGAGAACACUUCCAGAAAAAAGAAAGCUGAAGGUGCAUGCAGAAAAAAAGCAUCCCUGCCUUGGGAAAUAACAUGCCAAGA